AAAUCCUAAACGCUGCUCCUGCCCCUGCUCACGAGUCACGCACGCGAACUCAUCUCUCUCUCUUGCCGCCGCCGCCCGCAGCAUACCAGCAGCUGUCGUCGUCGUCCGCAACACUAGAGCAGAGCGCCCUCCAGCCGCACCAGUAGCUGCCACACCUCCAGCUGUUGCCGGCUGCGAGUAGUCGUCACCGCACGACAAGCUCUCUCUCCCUCUCUAUCUCUGUGCGUAUUGGUGUGUAAGACAAAUGCAAUUUCAAUUUGUAUAGGUCCUCAACUUUGACAUCCGACUGAUUUCAUUUGUUUUGCUUAUGAUGGUAUUUCAUGGAAUAAGUUCUCAACUUUGGUGUUUCUUUAAUUUUUAACAGCAUAAUCAGAUUUACUUAUGUAGGAUACUUGUUUUAUUCAUGUAGCUUGAAUUGAAGAGCUUAGGAUGGUUUUUUAAGUGAAUGGUUUAACUGAAUUGCAGUAGAUUUGUUUUUUUUUUAAAUGGUAUUCGGAUACCCAAAUAACCGGCUCGGUUAACAGAGUCGGUUAUUGGAUAACCGAACGCUCAUUUCGGUUCGGGAACGGUUAGUGAUUUGGGCCAUUUUCGGUUUCGGUAACCGAUCGACGCCCCUAGUCGUGAUGGCACAUAAGGGAUUUUUGCUACGAAAAAGUUAAGCUUAGUCAAAUUUAGUAAAUCAUGGUUGAUUUAAGGCUUAGUUACACAUUAAGGCAUGGGUGGGUAAUCAUUCGGUUCUGAUCAAAUUCACAAAUUGACCAACUUCGGUUCUGAUCAAGUCACAAAUCGACCAAAUUGCAAAGAAUUUUCAAAUUCUUGAGUAAAUCUUUUUUUCUACCAAGUCUUUCUUGAAGUAUGGCGCUCUUAGAGCCGCAAUGCAAUUGAUGAAAUACUGUCUUUAUUGAGCAGGUACUUUGUAUUUAAUCAACCAUCAAACCAGUGGUAGAUUGCUGGCAUUGUCGUUUAAAAUCCUAAUGCGUUUGAUAGCAUCUACACCGUAAGUUUAAGCUACAGAACUGAAAAUUAUUUUAAUUAUUUCCAUCUGCUUGUGACUAGUUUUUAGCUUUUAUCUUAACUAGUAUUGUACCAGUGCGGUAUGUACAUUUAUCAAUUUAUAAGACAAAAUAUUUUGAUUAAUCAACAUACAUAAAUGUAAUGGGAUGUCAAUGUAGCUAGAAAUUUGUAGAUUGAGCAGAACAAAUCGAGUAAUAAACAAUUGAAAUUUUAUUGGACAAUGCUAAUGAAAAACCCUAUGAAGCACCAGUACGUUUCUGAGGGUAGCGUCCGAGUAUUAAAACGAAAAAAAUACGAAUACGUGUAAAUACGUCUGAAAUACGUAUUUAAUACGUCUUUUUCGUUUUUUCGUAUUUUUGUUUUUAGGGUUUGAGAAAUACGUUUUUAAUACGCCUGUUGACUAAAAAAUACGUUUGACCCAAUUUAAAAAGAAAAAACAGAAGACCAAGCCUACUACGCGAAUUAGUUCUCUGAAUUUCUCAUCUCCUAAACCCUACAUAUAUGCAAGCGGCGCAAAUCCCAGCCCGUUCUCCGCCGUCGCGACUGCUGCCGCAGCUGUUCUGGAGCAGUUCAUGAAGCGGCGCAAAUCCCAGCCCGUUCUCCGCCGUCGCGACUGCCGCCGCCGAUGUUCUGGAGCAGUUCAUGAAUUGGAGUGUGAAUUGGGUAUAUAUUGGGGGUGCGUAUCGUGGUAGGCGGUGGGUAUAUUGGGGUGGGUUUAAUUAUGUUAUUUAUUUACUUGGGUGGCCGAUUGGUGUAGGUAAGGGGUGGGUUUAAUUUUGCUAUUUAUUUAUUUACUUCUAAGUUUUAAGAAUUAUGUAGUUAUUUGUUAUAUUUGGUUAUGAAUUAGUUUCUAUGAUAUAUAUAUUAAUAUUAUUUAUAAAAUUAUUAUAAAAAUUAAAACGUAUUUUUAACGUAUUCGUAUUGUGAUUUUUGGGAUAUUGACGUAUUUUCGUUCUCGUCUCGUAUCGUAUUCAUAUUUGGUAUUCGUACCGGUGCUUCCUAGGAAAAACCUAUUAGACAAUUGUGAGUACCUUUUGGAGGGAUAAUGGCAUUGUUUUAAAUUUUGCCAACAUUUGGCUUUUAUAUAUGUAAUGGAUAAUAUAUAAACCAAAAUUUUGAAAGAGAACUUGUUACUUUUUUUUUUGUGUGUGUUCUUGGUUUUCUGGAUAGAAGACAUGGAGAUCCUACGUCGCUAGAUGGAGAGUUGACAGAAGUAGAACCUUUUAUCGGAUAUAUUGGCAUUAGUAUCUAAUGCUGAUUCAUAAAUGCUUUUUCUGUUCAAACGGGUAUGGGUCUAACAGUUCUUCAAUGUUCAAUCUUUAGAUAUUCAAGAAUGCCACCUGAGCUGCUCUGUAGGGUUAUCUCUUCACUCCAAUCAACAAUUGAAGAGGGGUUUCCAUAUCAUAAUGAUCGGAAUAUCUUGCUGGUAACUAUCAAGUUUUCAUCCAUAUUCAUCAAUGAUAUGUCUCCAUUUUCUAGCUUCUUUUGUUU
rnacentral:lncRNA from 1 species